AGCGAACGCUGGCGGCAGGCCUAACACAUGCAAGUCGAACGAACUCUUCGGAGUUAGUGGCGGACGGGUGAGUAACACGUGGGGACGUGCCUUUAGGUUCGGAAUAACUCAGGGAAACUUGUGCUAAUACCGAAUGUGCCCUUCGGGGAAAGAUUUAUCGCCUUUAGAGCGGCCCGCGUCUGAUUAGCUAGUUGGUGAGGUAAAGGCUCACCAAGGCGACGAUCAGUAGCUGGUCUGAGAGGAUGAUCAGCCACAUUGGGACGGAGACACGGCCCAAACUCCUACGGGAGGCGGCAGUGGGGAACAGUGCGCAAUGGGCGAAAGCCUGACGCAGCCAUGCCGCGUGAAUGAUGAAGGUCUUAGGAUUGUAAAAUUCUUUCUCAGGGGACGAUAAUGACGGUACCCGGAGAAGAAGCCCCGGCUAACUUCGUGCCAGCCGCCGCGGUAA
rnacentral:rRNA from 1 species